GGAAUCUUCCACAAUGGGCGCAAGCCUGAUGGAGCAACACCGCGUGAGUGAAGAAGGUCUUCGGAUCGUAAAGCUCUGUUGUUGGUGAAGAAGGAUAGAGGCAGUAACUGGUCUUUAUUUGACGGUAAUCAACCAGAAAGUCACGGCUAACUACGUGCCAG
rnacentral:rRNA from 1 species